UCACAGCUGAAGCCGAAAGUGUUGCCGACCGACUUCGAGUGUCUCUUUUUAAAACGACGGUUUGCGAGACAAGAAAGGAAUAAAUUCAAGAGGAGGACCUACACCUGAAGUGGACGGACUCUCUGAGACCAGCAAAGGUUUUAAACGGCACUUUAUCGAGAGCAACUGUGACUGCUAACGGUGGCUAACAGCUAGCACCGAGCGAACAUGCUAAUUAGCUAACGGUGUUUCCGGUUUAACGUCAGUGACCGGAGAAGACUUUCGGUGGGUCCAGAGAGGAUUUACAGCGUGAUUAAAGCAACGGGGACGUGAAACUACCAGAGAGUAAAAACAAGUGACAUUUUGAAAACGCUUUAUGGAUUGUGUCUUUUUGGGACAACAAGAAUUUGAGAGGACAGGACAAGUGGGAAGAGUCGCUGAGUCAAAGUUUGGGCAGCAGGUUGCAGUCUGCGAGGGUGAGCUCGUUUCCGUCGAGGAAGCACCGGGUGGAGCCCUUCUCCUCCUCCAUGCUGUCUGCGUCGAUCUCGUCCGGCAGGACGCUGUUCAGAGACCUGAAAAUGGCCACACACUGCCAGUCUCCGUCCAACCUGACAGAGCUCGACAGGA